rnacentral:misc_RNA from 1 species
UUAAGUUCAGCGGGUAGUCUCACCCGAUUUGAGGUCAAGGUUUAUAAAAACGGUCGAGUUACAUGUAACUCUAAGGUUAGAAAGCAGGUUCCCAGCCGACAUGACGUAGAACAAAUGCUUAUCACGUCAAGGAUCAGCUAAAGCGGACCCCACCAAUUCAUUUAGGAGGAG